rnacentral:tRNA from 1 species
UAUUCUGUGGCUUAGUUGGUUAAAGCACAGCACUGGCAAUUCGGAGUUGUGGGUUUGACUACCACCAAAACAA